rnacentral:lncRNA from 1 species
AGCGUUUAUUACUAAGUGGGAACGACCAACAUGGCUGCCAUCUAUUCAAAUGGGGUAACCGCUGGAAUAUUCUUGGCUUCAAUUUUACUAUAAGAGAUGCGCUAUCUAUUGUAUAUAAGAUAUCUAUGAUUAUAUCAUAUGUUCCGAUGUGACCGUAAAUCUCCAAUCAGAAAGCUCCGAAAAUUAUAAGGCAUUUCAGAAGGCGUUUAUUAGAGAGCUUAAGAUCUAGGACGGCAACGCGACG